UCAAGGGUCGCCAAGCGGUAAGGCAACGGACUUUGACUCCGUUAUGCGAACGUUCGAGUCGUUCCCCUUGAA
rnacentral:tRNA from 1 species